GUUUUGUGUAGGUGAAUCUAAUGGCACCAGUAAUGACCACAGGCAAUGACUCUUCAGUUCUUAAAGAUGUUGUUGCCUAUGUUGAUGUUUGGUCAUCAGAUAAAACCGCAAACUAUUCAAAACCAUUCGUUCAGCAGCUGCAGGAAAUGGGAGCUGAGCUCCGAGCUAGAGCUUUUCUGGUUCAGCUCCGGUUUCCC